GGAUGAUAUCGCUGAUUUAGUAGAAGCUAAAAAGUUGCUUAAGGAAGCUGUAGUGUUACCAAUGUGGAUGCCCGAAUUCUUUAAGGGCAUUAGGAGACCAUGGAAAGGAGUACUGAUGGUCGGCCCACCUGGCACAGGGAAGACGCUCCUUGCUAAAGCAGUAGCUACAGAAUGCAAGACAACAUUCUUCAAUGUCUCUUCAUCAACUUUGACUUCCAAAUACAGAGGAGAAUCUGAGAAGCUUGUUCGUCUUCUGUUUGAAAUGGCUCGAUUUUAUUCUCCAGCCACCAUAUUUAUUGAUGAGAUAGACUCCAUCUGUAGUCGCCGAGGGACUUCUGAAGAACAUGAAGCAAGCAGAAGGGUGAAAGCGGAGCUGCUGGUUCAGAUGGAUGGUAUCUGUGUUUAGCUUUAGUUGAACAGGGACGGGAGGUUGUUAGGUGUGGUGUCUCCAGUUCCAGUGGGUCAAACUUUACUCAUAGUGCUAACCCAAGCUUUUAAUAGGUAUUCUUAAUUUCAGAUGGACUAGAGGGGGUGGCAAGUAGUUCCUGAUAGUGAUAGUAAUA
rnacentral:sRNA from 1 species